AAUACCAGAAAUAACCUUCCCCGUCCUUCGUCCUCCUCGCUCUUUUCUCGUGCUACGAAAAAUUUGUUAUGAAAAUAAUGGAAAUUGGGAGCUCGGCUUCAUCCCUGAGGCGAGAAAUGGGUUCUCCUCUUUGGAUCUGAGUCACUUCAUUCGGAGGGGGGAAGAUGCCAAAGAGCCAUUUGGGGACUAUUUCGAAGUUGCAGUGGCCCAUGUAGUUCAUGAAAUCAAUGUAGACGAGGUACCCAAGAAAUGCAAUGAUUGACGAUGUCCUGGUGACAGCAGCAGAUACCAUCGGGAUAGCAAAGAGUAGAAAGUAGACCACUUCUUCGGCAAACGGAUGAAUGACGGCUGCAAAAUUCAACAAGCUAUAAGCCAGAAGGGCCGCACAUUCUGGAAGCGAGAAACGGAGAUCCACAGCUGCGCGUAGAGAAGCCUCAGCAGUAGAGCAGGGAAGACGAGGAAGUUCAGCAUAUCUCUCUCCUCUCUCUCGCUUGUCACGAACUUAUAGGAACUGUGCGCGACCCACGGAGCUAGUAUUAUAUACUUCAUCGAAAACAAAGAGGAGAGUGUAUGUUAAUCAGAAUCUAUAGCGACGGAGAGGCGGAAAAUGACGAAGGUGCAGAUAUAUAGUUUCAUAGAUACUGAAGGAGAGGAGACACCUUGAAGUUGCCGAGUCUCUGCCAUGGCCACUGCGUGAAAGGCCCUGGUUGGGAAGCCAUUGCUUCUUUCUUCUCAGUGGCCCUUCUCUCUCUCUCUUGAGUUGUAUUUGUAAUGCUGAUCGCGGAAAUAUUUAAAAGCUUUUGGUGAUUCACUCGUGAAUGUGUACGUGUGCGCGCGCGCAUGUGUAUUAUUAUUAUCAUAAUUGGCAGUGCGUACUAGUUUAUCAUAUUUAUGCGGUGUAAUUUUUGUUUGUUUGUUUGUUUGUUUUGGUUUGGUUUAACUUAAAGGACAGUGAAAAUGAUGUGAUCUUGUUAAUUACCAAUAAGUAAGAGGAAUAAUUUUGUGGAUA